rnacentral:snRNA from 1 species
GGUUGCAAAGGCAAUCUGCCAAAGACAUCUGCCACACCAGUGAUUGCCAGGGAUGAUUCUAGCUGAUCUGACUGAUAAGGCAAUUGUUCCCUUUUCCACUCACCACUUCAGAUAUCCCAUCUAGUUGCAUGCCCAGAGACAAUUCUACCUAACAAAGUAGUAUUUUCUUUGGCCAAAGGUAUACAAAAAACAUGUUAUACCUAUUUGACUCUACAAACUCAAAACAUCACUGUUUUUCUAAGAACUAAACAUUGGCUAGUAUGUAUUAUCAAAGAGGAACAAUUAGUGAAUUCAUGACUUAGGGUUGUUUACCUUUUU